GGCAAGUAUAUAAAGAAAUUAUUAUGGAUAAUUAGCUAUAUAUUAAAGAAUAUCUAGUCAAUCUAGUUUCUAAGAGAAAUCAGAUAAUAAACGAAGUGAAUUGAAAUAUCUUAGUAACUUUAGGAAAAGAAAUCAAACGAGAUUGUUAUUUGGUGUCAACUAAAUAACAAAAGCCUAAUAACAAAACUUGUUAAAAGUAAAAUGGAUUAAAAUCUGUUUGAAUAUAGGGGAACCUUCCUCUAAGGCUAAAAAUGAUAUAUAAGCGAUAGUGAAAAGUACCGUGAGGUAAAAUUUGAAAUAGUAAUUUUAUAAGCAGCUCGAGUGAAAUUUAAAUAAAUAAUAAGAGCGUACCUUUUGCAUAAUGGGUCAGCAAGUUAAUUUUAGAUGCAAGCAAUGAUUUUAUGCGCUUUUCGCAUAAAACUAGCUUAGAUAAACCAAUUAUGAAAAAAUGAAUAAGUAUCUAGAAUUAGACCCGAAGGCUAGUGAUCUUACCAUGGUCAGGGUUAUAAAAGCCCGAACGGGUUAUCGUUGUAUAGAUAUCCGAAGAAUUGUGGUAAGUUAGUGAAAGACAAAACUGACUAGUAUAGCUGGUUUUCCGCGAAACCUAUAUGAGUAGGUAAUUUAAUUAA
rnacentral:ncRNA from 1 species